rnacentral:tRNA from 1 species
GGGGGCAUGGUUCAGUGGUAGAAUUUUCGUCUCCAAAACGAAAGACCAAGGUUCGAUUCCUUGUGCCCCCG